GCCCUCUUAGCUUAGUGGUAAAGCAAUGGUAUCGUAAACCAUGGACGUCAGUUCGAUUCUGACAGAGGGCU
rnacentral:tRNA from 1 species